AUUGAACGCUGGCGGCAGGCCUAACACAUGCAAGUCGAGCGAGCGGCGGACGCGUGCGUAAUGCCUGGGCAUUGCCCCGUCGCGGUGGAUAACAGUUGGAAACGACUGCUAAUACCGCAUACGAUUGGAUUGCUCAGGUUGGAUUAGCUCGUUGGUGAGGUAAUGGCUCACAAAGGCGACGAUCCAUAGCUGGUCUGAGAGGAUGAUCAGCCACACUGGAACGGAGACACGGUCCAGACUCCUACGGGAGGCAGCAGUGGGGAAUAUUGCACAAUGGGGGAAAGUCUGAUGCAGCCAUGCCGCGUGUGUGAAGAAGGCCUUCGGGUUGUAAAGCACUGUUAGCGGGGAAGCGGUACUCACAGAAGAAGCAACGGCUAACUCCGUGCCAGCAGCCGCGGUAAUUC
rnacentral:rRNA from 1 species